UUUAAAGAACAAUGUCUGCUGAUAUGAACACUGUUCAAAUCCCAACUUCUCCUUUAUGUAUUAAUAAAAUUAAGUUCCAUUUAUUCUCCCAUUAAUUUAUUUUUACAUUUAUAGAUGGUAUAUGUAGAUAGAAUUAACUUAUUUUUUAAAUUUUGUUUUAUUUUACUAUGAUAUCUAAAAAAGCUAAACAAUGAUCAAUGAUGCGGCUCACUGCCUCCUCCUCAUAUGUGAUAAAGUUAUUUCCUAUUAUUUUACUACUUCUGAUGCAGUUCUCUUGCUUUGCCUCACCACUCAUUUCCUCGUAACUGUUAUUUAGAGAAGGAAUGUAUAAUGAGGAAGGAGUAUAAAAAUAAAAGGGAAGGACCAGUGUUUAGGUAACAUACAACAGACAUUCAAAAAACGCUUCAGACCGACUGACUGUAGAAGUGAAAUAACCAGCUAGAGUUUAAUAAUCUGACCGAGGAGCAGCAAGACCAACAUGAUGAAGAUCUUUCUGCUCCUCCUCUCACUGAUGGCAGGCUGUGAGGCCUCAACUGAAGUGAAGGUUUGCAGAGACGGAUGGGUUGAAUUCUACUGCAAAUAUAAAGAGAACUUUGGGGAAUACGAGUGUGAAUUUUUUCAAGACCAGAACUCACCAGACGAAGUUGAAGAUGAAGUUAAAGUGGCAGCUGAGACAGAUGGCUGCCAGGGACAAUUUAACCAAACUGUGUACAGAACGGCUAAAACCACCAUCACAUGUGAUUAUCCAGAAAACAAACACAGAAACCAACAGAGGAUUCAGUGUGUCCAUCAGUAAUGUGUCCUCACAUGAUGCUGGUCUCUACUGGUGUGGAGUGAAUAAAGGAAAUUACCAAACUGGACUCAGAAAAAUCCAACUGGAGGUUGAAGAUAUUACGACAUUCGCAAGGUCUCCAACUAUUGGACAGAAUUUUACAUACUGGUGUGAAUAUCCAAAUGGUGCUCCGAUAAAGAAAUUCAUCUGUAAGGGAGAAGAUCCAUCUAUAUGUCAACCUCUAGUAAACACUGUACAGCGCAACAUGAACAACGGAAAGUUUUCCAUGAAGGAAGACAAAUUAAAGAGAAAUGUAACCAUAACAGUGAGAGAAGUAACAGCAGACGACAGUGGGACAUACUGGUGUGGAGCAGAAAGCACUGACACAAGACGCAGUAACACAUUCUUCCACAGAUGCUUGUUGACUGUAGGUGAGUGGUCACAUUAUUUUAUUGUUUGGAUGUAAUCUGACUCCUGUUUAUAUGUAAACCUGACAAUUUGAUUACCAGGUUCAUGAUGGCAUUUUCUUUCUUUUUUUUAUGGAUUUUCUUUACCAGAUUUUACCAAAUUAUAUUUCUUAUUUUCUUACACUUCUAC
rnacentral:lncRNA from 15 species